UACGUAGGGUGCGAGCGUUAAUCGGAAUUACUGGGCGUAAAGCGUGCGCAGGCGGUUUUGUAAGCCAGAUGUGAAAGCCCCGGGCUUAACCUGGGAAUGGCAUUUGGGACUGCAAGGCUGGAGUGUGGCAGAGGAGACUGGAAUUCCUGGUGUAGCAGUGAAAUGCGUAGAUAUCAGGAGGAACACCGAUGGCGAAGGCAGGUCUCUGGGCUGACACUGACGCUCAUGCACGAAAGCGUGGGGAGCAACAGG
rnacentral:rRNA from 1 species